GGUUGACCUCGGAUCAGGUAGGAGUUACCCGCUGAACUUAAGCAUAUCAAUAAGCGGAGGAAAAGAAACCAACCGGGAUUGCCUCAGUAACGGCGAGUGAAGCGGCAAGAGCUCAAAUUUGAAAUCUGGCCCCUGGGGGUCCGAGUUGUAAUUUGCAGAGGAUGCUUCGGGUGCGGUC
rnacentral:rRNA from 1 species